UGGGGAAUUUUGGACAAUGGGCGAAAGUCUGAUCCAGCAAUGCCGCGUGUGUGAAGAAGGCCUUCGGGUUGUAAAGCACUUUUGUCCGGAAAGAAAUCCUUGGCUCUAAUACAGUCGGGGGAUGACGGUACCGGAAGAAUAAGCACCGGCUAACUACGUGCCAGCAGCCGCGGUAAUACGUAGGGUGCAAGCGUUAAUCGGAAUUACUGGGCGUAAAGCGUGCGCAGGCGGUUUGCUAAGACCGAUGUGAAAUCCCCGGGCUCAACCUGGGAACUGCAUUGGUGACUGGCAGGCUAGAGUAUGGCAGAGGGGGGUAGAAUUCCACGUGUAGCAGUGAAAUGCGUAGAGAUGUGGAGGAAUACCGAUGGCGAAGGCAGCCCCCUGGGCCAAUACUGACGCUCAUGCACGAAAGCGUGGGGAGCAAACAGGAUUAGAUACCCUGGUAGUCCACGCCCUAAACGAUGUCAACUAGUUGUUGGGGAUUCAUUUCCUUAGUAACGUAGCUAACGCGUGAAGUUGACCGCCUGGGGAGUACGGUCGCAAGAUUAAAACUCAAAGGAAUUGACGGGGUCAUAGCUGUUU
rnacentral:rRNA from 1 species